ACUCCUACGGGAGGCAGCAGUGGGGAAUAUUGCACAAUGGGCGCAAGCCUGAUGCAGCCAUGCCGCGUGUAUGAAGAAGGCCUUCGGGUUGUAAAGUACUUUCAGCAGUGAGGAAGGUGGAUAUGUUAAUAGCAUAUUCAUUUGACGUUAGCUGCAGAAGAAGCACCGGCUAACUCCGUGCCAGCAGCCGCGGUAAUACGGAGGGUGCGAGCGUUAAUCGGAAUUACUGGGCGUAAAGCGCAUGCAGGUGGUUUGUUAAGUCAGAUGUGAAAGCCCGGGGCUCAACCUCGGAAUUGCAUUUGAAACUGGCAAACUAGAGUACUGUAGAGGGGGGUAGAAUUUCAGGUGUAGCGGUGAAAUGCGUAGAGAUCUGAAGGAUACCGGUGGCGAAGGCGGCCCCCUGGACAGAUACUGACACUCAGAUGCGAAAGCUUGGGGAGCAAACAGGAUUAGAUACCCUGAUAGGCUCUGC
rnacentral:rRNA from 1 species